AUAGCGGAUAAGGCUGAAUUUUGAACUUAAAACCUGGACAUUGACCACCUGGUAGCCCUGUUUGCUAGCCACCACCUGGAUGCCCUGCUAGCAGCCUGCUGCAACUAGCCCUGCAGCUAGUUACCACCUGCAUGAUCUAUUGAUAGCUUGCUGCUGGAAUUACUGCUGCUAGCUUGCUGUCAGUAGUCCUGCUUGCUUGCUAGCCGCUUCUUGGAUGCCCUGCUGCUACCCUGCUACUGGUAGCUCUGCUGCUAGCCUGCUGUUGGUAGCCUUGCUUCAUAGCCUGCUGCUGGUGGAUUUGUCUGCUAGCCAUCACCUGGAUGUUCUGUUGUUAGCCUGUUGCUGGAGCUACUACCUGGAUGCCUUGCUGCUAGCUGCCCUUGCUAGCUACCACCAGGAUUCUGCUACUAGCUCCACUUGCUAGCCACCUUCCAGAUGCCUUGUUACUGGCCCCACUUGCUAGCCACUACUUGGAUGCUCUGCUGUUUAGCCCCACUAGCUAGCCACCACCUGGAUGCCCUGCUGCUAGCUUUGUUGCUGAUAACCCUACUCCUAGCCUGCUACUAUUAGCCUUGCUUGCGAGCUAUCACCUGGAAGCUUCCCUGCUAGCCUCCAUCCUAUAGCCCUGACUUUUUGACUCCAAGCUACUGUUCACCCCUGUUAAGGCUGUCUUCAACUAAACCUGCACGGCCGCUCUCGCAGCGGGUUCCAUAUUUACCUGGGUUCCGGUGAUCCGGAGCGAGGGAAUACCUCGGAGAAAAGGGAUGGAUAAAGAGUCCAUUGAGCGGCGGAGUGACAAAUCGGUGAAGGAGGAAGAAAAAGAAGAAAGAAGAAAAUAAAAGUAGGGCAGAUGCAGAUCUCAGGUUUUGAUUAAAUAGCAUGUCGUUUCCAUAGCAACGCCUCGUUUAUGUAGACAUGUACAGCGAACGCCCCACUGACUAAAAACAUGUUAUGAUGAUGAUGUACAACCUGUUGGGGGGGAUUUUUUUAAGUACUGCGCGGUGACAGCUUUGCUGUCGCCUGCUACCGCUGGAUUUCUGCAUGUAGCACAGGGCCUCUUGUUUCCUGUGUAAAUAAGACUUAAAUGAAGGAGUGGAGACGUGGCUGUGAACGACACGCUGCU